AUACGUAGGGGGCGAGCGUUGUCCGGAAUGAUUGGGCGUAAAGGGCGCGUAGGCGGCCCGGUAAGUCUGGAGUGAAAGUCCUGUUUUUAAGAUGGGAAUUGCUUUGGAUACUGUCGGGCUUGAGUGCAGGAGAGGUACGUGGAAUUCCCAGUGUAGCGGUGAAAUGCGUAGAGAUUGGGAGGAACACCAGUGGCGAAGGCGACUUACUGGACUGUAACUGACGCUGAGGCGCGAAAGUGUGGGGAGCAAACAGGAUUAGAUACCCUGGUAGUCCACACUGUAAACGAUGAAUGCUAGGUGUAGGGGGUAUCGACCCCUUCUGUGCCGCAGUCAACACAAUAAGCAUUCCGCCUGGGGAGUACGGCCGCAAGGUUGAAACUCAAAUGAAUUGACGGGG
rnacentral:rRNA from 1 species